rnacentral:lncRNA from 1 species
GCAGGACAGUGGUGCUAAUUGAGUGAGAAAACAUAAUGCAGGGAGCUGUUGUCUGCAGCUGGGGCGGGGGUGACUAAGUGGCCCACCAUUGUUGGUGUCAGGCAGGCAGAUGUUGCGUUCUGUUGAUAACUGCACUGACAUCGCCGGAGCUUGUCACCGCAGCUUCUGCCCAGAGACUCUCGGCUCUGGCGGCAGAUGGCUCUGCUGAAUGGCCACGGAGGGUCCCAGCGGCCAGCCCGGCGUGUGGAAGAGAACUUGAACACUGGUCUCCACGGUGACCCUGGACAGACACCGCAGCAGAAGACAGGGGCUUCCGAGGCCCCUGCACAGCCACAGGACUGGUAACCAGGGAGCUACUGGGGGCAAGGCUUGAGGAAGACCCUCCCAUCGUGAGCAGCUUGGGUCUGGAUCCUGGAGUUCUGGGAAACAGGUGACAAGAAUCGUGGCUGUGCCGCCAGAUUUUCAUGGGACCCCAGGCAGUUCCCCAUCCUUGGGACACUCAGACGGCUCCACGGGGACAGGGACAGUUCUAGUGUUUACGGUCAUUCCCACACUCACAAAUGCAUCUGAUCCAGGCCCCAGGGACUCCUGGAAGUUGUUAUCAGGUGUCAUGUGCCUGUCACUUUCCAGGGGCAAGGCCCCCAGCUCUCACCAGGCUUCUCUAGGGGCAUCUCUCUGUUUUCCCCCCAAACAACCCCAGAAGACCCGAGGUGGGCGACCACUCCACACCACCUGUAAGUGGGAGCCGGGCUGCCAGCCCAUACCCCUCCAAGUAUGCUUAAUAUGGGCUGGAUUUACCACAAACACAGUUCUCCCUAGGUUUCCUGGCCCCUUUAGAAAAGCAAUAUGCCACCUAAAUGUGUGUUUUUAUUACUUUCUCUAUUAUAAGUAAAAAUAUUGUAAUACCAUCUGACGAUCCACCAGCUGUCUGCGCAAACGGUGGGUGCUGUUCCAGGGAAGUUGGGCUGUGGGUGUGGGACCGCUAUCUGGGGAGGGCACUCUUGGAUUUCUGCUGAGACUGGCCCCACAUAUGCCAGGCCACAUGUUCCUGGGCUGGGAGCUGAUAAUUGUGCCCAUUUAUCUUAUGAUAGCUGAAAGCUGCAAAACACUAUAAAAGAGCAGUAGUGGAAGUGUGAAGGAUGGAGGAGUGGGGUGCACACCAGCUCUGGAAGCAGCAAGGCGGAUGCAGCCCCUGGCCAGUACUGGGGGUUUGGGGAAGAAAUGACAUGGCUAUGGCCUGGGAAGGGACACAGGGAGAUGGGUCGGGCAGCCCCUCCCCCAUCCUGAUACCAGUGUCUGAGUUUUCCAGGUAGAAAUCAACACCUGAGGAUCUGGUGGGCCAGGGACAGUGGUAGGUCCCUUCUUGUCAAACAAAUCUAUGGCUAACAGUAUUCAGGAGACACAUACUGAUGCCGAAGUAUGGGAAACUUGACAAUUUCUCAGUCUGGACCAGAAGUGGCCAUGCAGGCUGAAUCUGCCCAACAGGUCCAGACAUCUGGCAACUCUGGGAGCAGGAGCUGGGCUGCGUCACACUCUUACCAAUCCUAGGAAACCCCAGGGAACUCAGGAUGCCCCUGGAAUACACUCAGCCCUCAUGCUCCCACUUAUCUGAGGGGUGACCUUGAGCUCCCUGGGACAGGGAAGGGCUGGGCCCCCAGAAGAGGGCCAGUGGGUGGUCAAUUUCCAGGUUCCCUGGGUGUUCCAGGUCCUCUUGCUCCUUGUCACCAAGGCAGCAUCAUCUGUGUGAAUGUGACACACCAGGAUGGAUAUUUCAUCUCUCUCGUUCCCGCUGUCUCCCCGGCCCUGGCACACAGUACAGCAGGGGGCUCUCUUCCACUCAUAUAUGCAGCCAACCUCACCAACCUACAAGAUCUCUGUGGCCAUGUGAGUCUGUGGCUCUGCUCUUCCCCUCAAACAACCAUUUUACAAGGGAGAAGACUGAUAUCCCAGCUGUACCUUGCAGGGUGGAGACAGGUGGGAAGUGACCCAGGUCCAAGCCUCCACUGAGCCCCUCAGGCCAGCGAUCACCCCCUCCCCAGCCUCACCAUCCUUCAUGAAGUCCAGACUUUGGGCAUUACCCCAUCCCCCAGGAUAAAGCCAACUCAGGGCCUGACCUGCCCAGAAGGCUCGGGGGUCCAGCCAUGCUGGCAGAGGGCUGAAGAGAGUGGCAGGUGGAGGCUUUGGGGGAAGGGGAGAAGGCUAUGGAAAAGGCCUGGCCGAUCACUUUGAUGUUCAGACCAUGAAACUUCUCAAAUUAUAAGAGAGAAUCACUUUUGAGCCUUUAAGUGGCUCCGGAACAAACCAACUGUCCAAAGAUACAAUGAAAAACCGUCACCAGCUCUCAGUAACAAGGCAGGAAAAAUUGUUUAGUGCUGACAAUGAAUAUUAAAAGCCCCAUCUGUGAAAAACACCCUGGAAAUAUGUCUCAGGAGGAGCCAGGCGAGAGGUGCUGGAGAGGCUGGCCGCCCAGAGGCCCCCACCCAGGGCAGGGCAGGCAGUGGGAGAGGAGACAGGCAGCUGCCAGGAGCUGCAGGUGGCAUCCAUCCGAGAGCAGAGCCAACCCACCUGGGCUACAGGUAGGGAGGUCCUGGGCCCCUGCCCGCACGAGGCAGCCCUGAGAAGGGGAGGCCAGCCCCCCACUUACUGUGCCCUCUGCCAGGGAUGGCAGGAGACAGGAGCUUAUCCCCACCCUCCCACCACAGCCGGGCCCUGCCUGAGAAGAGGUGACCACGCUAGACCCUGCCAGCCCCAGGAGACCCUGAACCAUCCAGCCCCAGCUCUGCCACUUCCUCUUCAGGAGCCUUUGGCCACCUCACCCCUCUGUGGACCUUGGUUUCCUGGACAGGGCUGGGUGGGGCUGAAAGUUCGGGGGAUGCUGCCCCCCAUAGAAAGCAGAGGGGACCGCGUGAAAUGCCCAGGCCUGGACCCCAGGGACAUAGGCCCCUGCUAGGGUCGGGGCAGGAAGAAGGAGGGGGCCAUAAAGGAGAAGCCCCCGGAUACCUUCUGGGCCCAGUAUCCAUAUCCUGGGGCCCUCCUGCCCUGUACCUUGCACGCACCCCUGGCUCCUCCAUGGCUGCCCACCCCGACCACAUCAUCUCUCCCUGCAGCCGUGGCCCCCCCCCCAGCUUGGUGCCUGGUUGGGGUUGGGGGCAGCAGAAGGGGUCUGGCUGCUGCUCAGAACCACCACAGAGGAAGGAGGCCAUAGGUCCCCACGUCCAGGGUGCUAAAAGCUAGUGACACUUGGGCUCCGUCGCACACAGGCCUGCUAAUGACACCUGGGCCACAGGUCUUGAAUGGACACUUGGGAAAGGUGGGCCAGCCGCAUCCCCUGCUCUUAUGCAGGGCCACCCACUGAGGAGGUCCCUCCCAGGCCCAGCUGCUUCUUUGGGCUCUCUGAGGGGUGGUGGAGGGGAGGAGUCCCUGCUCUGCCCGAGUCUGCCUUCCCAGCCCUGGGCAGUGGGGAUCUACAAAGCUGUUUGCAUGAGUGGCAUUUCUCAGCAGCAAUCCCAGGUGGUCCCACAGACCACCCUAUCCCCAGGAGAACCAAGAGCCAGAGAAGGGGCCAGGAAGCUGCAGCAAAGAGGCUGCUGCUCAGGUCACCUGGCAGGGAUGCAGGGGAUUCCAGGCUGAGACCCAGGCUCCUCUCGCUUCUGGACAAGAGGCCCAGAAGCACAGUGCCCUGCCCAGGACCAGAGCCCUCCCCAGCUCUGCAGCCCACUCCCCCCUCUGAGGACCCAGAAGAAGAGGGGCAGGCACCGAGGUUCUGGAGCUCCAGUGCAGGCCAAGCCACCACCUCAUGUUGUCCUCCAGCUGCCUUCCUUGUAAUUAAGAGCAAACUUUGUAGCAAUGUCUCCUUUAGCUGUUGUCUUACCCCGCCUCCCAAAUGAUAAAUUGUUAAUGAGCACCUGUUACAAUGCUAAUGAAAGUGAGAUCCGUAUGUAAAUAAAGAAAAUUUAAUAACUUAACAAGGUGGAUUAAAAUGCCCAACCUCCUCAGCAGCUAAUCUGGGCCAAACACCGAAGGGUUGCCA